rnacentral:lncRNA from 1 species
AGAGGCCUCCCGUGCACAAGAAUGUGAAGACUGUUGGCAGCUGCUAGCUGGAGAAGCCCUGAUCCACCUCAAGGGACGAAGGUGGGACUCUCACAAGGUUGCUCCCUGACUCCCACCCUCACCCCUGCUCUUGGAAGAAAGAAUGCCUGCUUUCUUUUCAGCCUGGGUUCCAGCUGGGAUGCCUAGGGUGCAGUGUUCCAGAGAUGGUGGCUGGUCUUGGAGAAGGGAUAGAAGUUAGGCUAGAAGACUGGAACUUAUGCAAAUCAAGCUCAAGGGUGACUCAAGGAGAGCUUAACCCCUGCCUGUGUCCCCCUUCUCCUCAAUAGAGCCUGAUAGGACACCUUGCAAAGAAAGAAAAAGACUCCCAGGAAAACAUCCUUUAUGUUAAGUUGCCCAGGAGGGUUUGUGUGUUUGUAUGGGGAGGGCGAAGGAGACUUUCCCUCUGAAGCAAUUUCUUGCGAAAAUGGUCCACGAGUUGAAAUGCCUUUGGGGCAGAGAGGAUUAUCGGGAAGAAAAGCUGGUUCAGGAAACAGAACUGGGUUAAUGGCUGCAUUAGGUUUAGGCACAAGCCAAGCGAUUCUUCUGAGGUCUAGAGGUCUCUAGAACUUUUAUUUGGAAGAGUCAGGCUAUUUUGGGCUUCUGCACUGAAUGAUCCCAGGGGCUAUCGUUCUUCUUCACAUAGAUUAUUCAAUUAGGGGUAACCUAGGACACUAUAGAGACACGCACCAUUCCACAUGCCCACUUUCUUGUAUGAUAAAUCAUGAAUUCUCAGGUGCUAAAGUCACCGGAUUUCCCUGGUUUAAAACUUUCUCUUUUUGCCCCCUCCCAACCCACCAAACCUGCUUUGCUUUCCUUAGCAUAACUGACUACCAUAGAGAUAACUGGGAUUAUUCUCUUAGAGAGGCUUCCCAAACCCUUAAGGAAAACAGAGUAACACAGUGAGAGGGCCUGAUGAGACCUGGGGUGCCAUGGAAGCCAUGAUUACAAACCCGGGAGUUUGAUUUAUUUCUUAAAUUCAGACAUGAAGGCUAUUCGGUGUGGCAUGGAUUUUCUAUUUCUCCCCAAGUCCAGGAUUCCAUGCUAUUUCACAGUUACCUGCUUACGUCAGUCAAUUUACUUGUCUGCUUCAAGGUAGGUGGGUACAUCUUGGACUGAUGGAACACCAGGUAAUGGCCUCACUUUAAAAACGGAGAAACUGAGGCUCAGUUGGUCCUAUCUGUCACAUUUGCUUAAUAUACAUAUUAAUAUACAUGUACAUAUAUAUAUAUUUAAAGAGGUGAGCUGGAAGGGAAAGUCUGAGGAGAGACUCUCAAGUCAGGAGACAUUGCCCAGGGUCUCAUUGGCUGUUUGUUGACUGAACCGUUGAAGCCAUCUCUUCUUGGUUUCCUCAAUUAUAAAUUUUGAGUGUUGAGAUACAUAGCUUCAGAUAUUCUGUCUACUUCAUUCUUUGAUUUUUUUCCCCCCUCACAAAAGAUAAGAGGCUCUACUGGCAAAGAUGAAUGGUUGAAUUCUCUUAGGAGUCCACAUCUCAGCAGAGUUUAUAUACCAUCAAUAACUUGUUCAAAACACACAGGAAUCAUUUUCUUAGUUGUCUGUUGGUUAAUAUGAAGCUAAUGGGACUACUGUGUGAUCUUUCUAAUUUAAAUAGAAUGGACUAAAAAUCGGAUUGAUCCUUUAGUAGGCAUCUCAGUUUUGGCUGUUUUCAGCAUGUAAUCCCAUGUUUUGUGGAAAGGUAUUUUGCUCUAAAGUCUGAGUUGUUUAUGUAUAGUAAAGAUUACAGCUGACCUCUGUUCACGAUUACUGCAGGUAGUUUCUAUUAUGUAGGGAUUUCUCAGUGAUUGUUUUUGGUUAUUUGUUGUGGGCCCUCUGGAUCCCAUUGGAGAGCACAUGGUAACGAAGUAACCAGGAAACAGUGGCCUCCAUCGUUUCUACAAACGAGAUAAAUGAAGACACAUGCUGCCUAUGCCAGAACGACCACACCUGUCAUUUGAAGUCUGGGGAUUGAUUGGGAAGAAGAGGAACUGGAGAUUGUGUUCUCUCACACAGAACCCAACAGAAGUCACAUGAUUCAAGUUAACACAUCUAUGUAACAAAACCCAGACAAAAACUCCAUACAUCAAAGCUUGACAACGUGAUAUUUACAUGAUAUUUUGAAGGACUUUGGAACCAUUGAAAGACAAGCUUUGGAGUGGAGUUUGACUUUAUAAGUUAUCCCAUUCACCUCAUCUUCUUGAGAGAACCCCUAAGAACAUCCCUGAGUGGUGGAAAAUGGAGCAUGUUCAAUCAAGAACAGCCAAGUACUCAGGGGACUGCUAUAAAUGACACCGUUAGACUAGAAAUCACACUAUCUGAGAGCAAAGGAUAGGAACUGUGAUUGGCUUGGCUCAGGACAGCAGCCUCUGUAUCAUAGGACUUAGGAUGUACAAAUUUUCUGGAACCAGGAAGUACGUGCUUCAAGACAGGUGCCAACACUGCCUGAGUUGAGGUGGGAUGACAGAAGACUUCGGAGCACUUGAUUUCUUAAAAGUUAAUCAGACUUACUUGUCCUUAUAUAGGACAAAUUCAGAACAUGAAAUAUCCCCCUGCAUAUGAGGAAACUACUCAUGAGAAAAGACGUAAUUAAUUAUUUGACUCUUUGAGGCCUUGGAUGGAGUGCUGUUAAAGGGGAUCUUAGUCUUGCUGCUUCAUUACAGGGACAACUGAGAGAGAUAUAGGCUAAUGACAAUGUGGAUGUCCUAUAAAUGACACAGCCAAGAGAAGCCAUGAAGUCUUGGGCCAUUAUAUACAUUUCCCUCCUCCCCAGACCCAUCUCUUCCUGCACAGGGACACACUUAAACUGUCACACCAGAUUGUAUCUUUUCCUCAAGAUCUCCCACUAAAGACAGAGGCAGGUCCAGCAUAGCAUUCCAUUAUCCUGUCUGUCUCAACUGAUGUUUAUUGUCUCAAGCCUUCUUAUGAGUAGGGAUAGAUCCACCUAUUUAUUAGUGCUGAGAUUUUAGACUAACCAGUAACCUGAGAGAGACUGCUCAUAGACCCAGUGACUGCAGAUCUCAAUGGCCUGUCCUCAUUCAAGUGCAUAAUACAUGCUUAGUAUUUACUAGGUGCUGGUGACCAGCAGUGAUGGAGAUGGGUCAGGAACUCCCCACAAAUGUAUAUUUGAGUACUAUGCCCUGACUUACUGUGGUUUGAUCAAAGUGGAUACUGUCUUUAUUUCUGUAGCAGAACAUUUCUGAUACAUUUUGAACACACACAGACACACACACACCACAUUUCCAUUCCUCAGUUUUCUUCAGGAACUGCCCAUUAAUCAUUUAACAGCAAGUCCAAAUUGUAUCCGGCACAUAAGGCCUCAUCGUUUUGGAAGCAAUUGGCUCUGUGUUAUCUUUGCUGGGUCCAUAAAGAUCAGAUGAAACAUCUAUCACCUGCCCUCUGAUGGCUGACAGUUU